rnacentral:rRNA from 1 species
UACGGGGGAGCAAGCGUUGUUCGGAUUUACUGGGCGUAAAGGGCGCGUAGGCGGCCAGCACAAGUCAGUUGUGAAAUCUCCGAGCUUAACUCGGAAAGGUCAACUGAUACUGUGCGGCUAGAGUGCAGAAGGGGCAACUGGAAUUCCCGGUGUAGCGGUGAAAUGCGCAGAUAUCGGGAGGAACACCAAUUGCGAAGGCAGCUCGCUGGGACGUUACUGACGCUGAGACGCGAAAGCGUGGGGAGCAAACAGGG